rfam:Triticum aestivum genome assembly, contig: Triticum_aestivum_CS42_TGACv1_scaffold_485948_6AS
CCCAUCCAAGACGACGAGUUGAUCUCGUACAUCCUCCAUGGGCUGGACGUCGACUACCAGCCGCUCGUCUCAGCUCUCGACGCCCGCGUCACGCCUGUCACCCUCGAUGAGCUCUAUGCCAUGCUGAGCAACUUCGAUC